rnacentral:rRNA from 1 species
UACGGAGGGUGCAAGCGUUGUCCGGAUUUAUUGGGUUUAAAGGGUGCGUAGGCAGCCCGUUAAGUCAGUGGUGAAAGCCUCCAGCUCAACUGGAGAACUGCCAUUGAUACUGGCGGGCUUGAGUACAGACGAGGUUGGCGGAAUUGAUUGUGUAGCGGUGAAAUGCAUAGAUACAAUCAAGAACACCGAUUGCGUAGGCAGCUAACUAGGCUGUAACUGACGCUGAGGCACGAAAGCGUGGGGAGCGAACAGG